rnacentral:lncRNA from 1 species
AAAAGAAUUGAGGAAGGAACUGAAUUGUAGAUAAAUAGAUCACUGAGGAGAGUUAUAGCAUGUCUGCCUAUGAUGUCUUCAGUAGUUGCCGUCUUGUUGAGAGUUGGGAUUGAAUUACCCGAUCUUUUGAGAUCCACUUGCACUGUCAGAGUAGGAGCAUCUGAGCAAAUGGGAAGGCUGUAUUCUUGAUUUCCUACAUUUUGCUUCAUUUUUCUGCUGGACAGCAUAUCUAGUUAAUCAUACAUGACUGCAGCAAGGUGAUGCAAUAGUUUCAAUGUAACUGCCUUAUCUAGGCAUGCAAUGAGAAGACCUGUGUGGUUGAGGAGAUGCAGACACUCACAGCGUGGCCCCUUGGGCAUAAGAAUAGUGGUGAGAGUUUUUCCACU